UACGUAGGGACCAAGCGUUGUCCGGAAUCAUUGGGCGUAAAGAGCGUGUAGGCGGCUUGUUAAGUCUUGCGUGAAAUCUCGGGGCUCAACCCCGAGCGGUCGUGAGAAACUGGCAGGCUAGAGUGCGGGAGAGGAGAGUGGAAUUCCUGGUGUAGCGGUGAAAUGCGCAGAUAUCAGGAAGAACACCCGUGGCGAAGGCGGCUCUCUGGGCCGUAACUGACGCUGAGGAGCGAAAGCGUGGGGAGCGAACAGG
rnacentral:rRNA from 1 species